ensembl:lncRNA
CUAAUAAUUAAGUAUUACUCCUAAAAUUUCUGACAAAUCUCCCUGUUUUGUUUAGUUUAUUUUAGUUUUGUUUUUUUUUGCUGAAACUUCGUUAUAGUUGUGAAGAGCAAAUAGGAUCCUUCUGAGUUUCAGAGCUCUUGAGGACACCACAUGCCCAUGACCCUGCAGAAGAAACUGGAAAAACACCACUUCAACUUGUAAUUGGAUACAAGCUGUCUGAGAUGGAAAUUGAGAGCAAAGUUCUCUGUUUAUUUACGAGCCAGCACUGAUACCUGAAGCAUAAAGCAAGGCACCUUCAGAUCAAUGCCAGCAAACUCUCGACUAUAUUGGAAAAUCCUUCCUGCCACGGGACAAGCACGACCGUGUCCUCGUGUUCUUUCAGCGUAACCCCCACCUUGAUAACACUUGUCAUCUGAGCAGCUUGUAUGACAGGUCUGUGAAGUGGAUUACUACUGUCCACUAGAGGCUGUAAUGAGACCAACAAUGUCAUUUUAUGACAAAUUGAAGUCUUAGACUGUAAUGAUCGAUAAUUGUAAGAUUACUGUUCACAUGCAGUGCAUCGUCAGUCACUGGAUUUCCCUGAACGUGGAU